UCUUGGGAAAUAUCACAGCUGCCGCCAUCAGUUAUAGACAUUCGCAGGCCUCAGAGCAGAUAACGGGGCUGUGUACACAAAAAAAUGUGUCUGCUAGAGGUUCUUGAAGACACACAGCCUCCUCGGGAUGUUCUCCAAAUCCGCAGCAUCUGAAGGAUGUAUGAAACCAGCCUGAAGACAGUUCUUGUAAAAAUGUCCAUGAAACCAUGAAAUCAGCACAGGACCAAUUAGAACUGAGAUAGGAAAAACCACUCAAAGAACUCGAAAGGAUACCAGGCCAGAGAGGAUGGUUUAUGACUUAAUUAGUUGCAUCAACCCAUGUAAGUAAGGACUAUAUCCCUCAGAAAUGGGUGGAAUAGGAAUAAUGCAAAGUUGGUGGAAGGAGAGACAGAGUCAAACAGGGGCAGUGCUCAUCAGGAAGGGCUCUGCAUGGCAACAGUGCGUCGGAUCCACCUGUCAAGUAUAUCCUUAAUUUGAAGGUGGGACUUCCUGAGAUUUCGGUGACUGACACUAAACUCUCAGCGCCUAGAAAGCAACAAUAUAUCUAACUUGUUCACAGGCCCUGAUGUGCUGUAGGCAUUUGAUGAGUGUUUGUGGAAUGAACUCAUUUACUCUUUUAACAUUCAGAUCGCUCAGAUGUACAUAUA